GCCAGGUGCGGUGGCACGUGCCUGUAAUCCCAGCGACCCAGGAGGCUGAGGCAGGAGGAUCCCAAGUUGGAGGCCAGCCUCGU
rnacentral:sRNA from 1 species